rnacentral:rRNA from 1 species
CCUACGGGAGGCAGCAGUGGGGGAUAUUGCACAAUGGGGGAAACCCUGAUGCAGCGACGCCGCGUGGGCGAAGAAGUAUCUAGGUAUGUAAAGCUCUAUCAGCAGGGAAGAAGAAAUGACGGUACCUGAGUAAGAAGCACCGGCUAAAUACGUGCCAGCAGCCGCGGUAAUACGUAUGGUGCAAGCGUUAACCGGAUUUACUGGGUGUAAAGGGAGCGCAGGCGGCACGGCAAGCCUGAUGGGAAAGCUCGCGGCCCAACCGCGGGACUGCGGUGGGAACUACCGGGCUGGAGUGCCGGAGAGGUAUGCGGAAUGCGUAGUGUAGCGGUGAAAUGCGUAGAUAUUAGGAAGAACACCAGUGGCGAAGGCAGCCUACUGGACGGUGACUGACGCUGAGGCUCGAAAGCGUGGGGAGCGAACAGGAUUAGAUACCCCGGUAGUC